rnacentral:lncRNA from 1 species
UUUGUUGGAACUGAUAGGCAGUUAAGCACAUUGCUUAAUCUUUUUACCUUCGUUUGUGUGGUGAUAAGGCUUCUAUUUUCGGUUUGAUUCGUGUUGUGCUCUUUAGAGAAUACGUUGGAUAUAAUUUAAUAUGAUUUUUUUUGUUGAGCAUAAAAAUGGGCUUGAUUUCAAACGUUGAAAAUGACUAAAAAUCUAAAAAUGCAUGUUGCAG